rnacentral:rRNA from 1 species
GAUGAACGCUGGCGGCGUGCCUAAUACAUGCAAGUCGAGCGGACAGACGAGGAGCUUGCUCCGCUGACGUUAGCGGCGGACGGGUGAGUAACACGUGGAUAACCUACCUAUAAGACUGGGAUAACUUCGGGAAACCGGAGCUAAUACCGGAUAAUAUAUUGAACCGCAUGGUUCAAUAGUGAAAGACGGUUUUGCUGUCACUUAUAGAUGGAUCCGCGCCGCAUUAGCUAGUUGGUAAGGUAACGGCUUACCAAGGCAACGAUGCGUAGCCGACCUGAGAGGGUGAUCGGCCACACUGGAACUGAGACACGGUCCAGACUCCUACGGGAGGCAGCAGUAGGGAAUCUUCGGCAAUGGGCGAAAGCCUGACGGAGCAACGCCGCGUGAGUGAUGAAGGUCUUCGGAUCGUAAAACUCUGUUAUUAGGGAAGAACAAAUGUGUAAGUAACUAUGCACGUCUUGACGGUACCUAAUCAGAAAGCCACGGCUAACUACGUG